rnacentral:rRNA from 1 species
AAAGCGGGGGAUCUUCCGACCUCGCGCGGACNGANCGGCCGAUGGCNNAUUACGUAGUUGGUGGGAUAAAAGCUUACCAAGCCGACGAUCUGUANCUGGUCUGAGAGGAUGAUCAGCCACACUGGGACUGAGACACGGCCCAGACUCCUACGGGAGGCAGCAGUGGGGAAUUUUGGACAAUGGGCGCAAGCCUGAUCCAGCCAUGCCGCGUGCAGGAUGAAGGCCUUCGGGUUGUAAACUGCUUUUGUACGGAACGAAAAGGUGCCUUCUAAUAAAGGGCGCUCAUGACGGUACCGUAAGAAUAAGCACCGGCUAACUACGUGCCAGCAGCCGCGGUAAUACGUAGGGUGCGAGCGUUAAUCGGAAUUACUGGGCGUAAAGCGUGCGCAGGCGGUUUUGUAAGACAGAGGUGAAAUCCCCGGGCUCAACCUGGGAACUGCCUUUGUGACUGCAAGGCUGGAGUGCGGCAGAGGGGGAUGGAAUUCCGCGUGUAGCAGUGAAAUGCGUAGAUAUGCGGAGGAACACCGAUGGCGAAGGCAAUCCCCUGGGC